rnacentral:rRNA from 1 species
CACGUAGGGGACGAGCGUUGUCCGGAUUCAUUGGGCGUAAAGCGCGCGUAGGCGGUUCAGUUAGUCGGGUGUGAAAUCUCCGGGCUCAACCCGGAGGGGCCACCCGAUACUGCUGUGACUCGAGUCCGGUAGGGGAGUGGGGAAUUCCUGGUGUAGCGGUGAAAUGCGCAGAUAUCAGGAGGAACACCGGUGGCGAAGGCGCCACUCUGGGCCGGUACUGACGCUGAGGAGCGAAAGCGUGGGUAGCAAACAGG